UUUUAACAAAAAUUUAAAAUAAUGUGAAUGUUUUGUAACUGAAAAGAAAAAUAAUGUAUAGUUUAGUACGAAUUUGAUGACAGUGGUACAUUUCUCGAUACACGGCUCAGCUGUGUGUAGUCUGGUGUAGUCAUAAAGGCAAAUUUAUGCCGAGUUAUAAUGCAUUUUACUGUGCUUUUGAUUAGCUAACCAAGUGAUAAUAUUUUGAUCUUACUAGAAACAAUGGACCUCGCUGCACUUGUUAUGGAUGCCAAAUUUUCAUUAUUUUACUGCACAUAAUUUUUUCAAGACUACAUAUAUACAUAAUUUGAUGAACGAUACAGGACAAUAUUUGAGUAACUGAAAUAGUUAUCAAGUACUUUAAAAUGGAAGUGAUACGUGACGAAGAUCGGCGAAGACGCCUGAGAACUUUAGAAGAAAAAAUUAAAGAUCCAAGAAGUAUUUCCAACAUUGAUUGUCUCUUAGACACUGUUCAGGCUCUUGUUGCUGACUGCGAUCAUCCAAGUGUUAAACGCAUGAAAAAUAUUGAGGCUUAUAUGAAUAGAUAUGAUGAAGUAGCACGAGAAAUAAAUAAAAUGCGAAUGCGUACGGAUGACUUUACUCUUAUUAAAGUUAUUGGCCGUGGAGCAUUUGGUGAGGUGCAACUAGUAAGACAUAAUUCAACUCAAAGAGUUUAUGCCAUGAAACUACUUAGUAAAUUUGAAAUGAUCAAACGAUCGGAUUCGGCUUUUUUCUGGGAGGAAAGGGAUAUUAUGGCACACGCCAAUUCACAAUGGAUUGUACAGUUGCAUUUUGCUUUUCAAGAUCAUAAAUAUCUUUAUAUGGUGAUGGACUAUAUGCCAGGUGGUGAUUUAGUUAAUUUAAUGUCUAGUUACGAUGUACCGGAAAAAUGGGCAAAAUUUUACUGUGCUGAAGUUGUAUUGGCAUUAGACGCCAUACAUCUAAUGGGAUUUGUGCACAGAGAUGUCAAACCAGACAACAUGUUGCUUGAUAAAUAUGGACAUCUUAAAUUAGCAGACUUUGGUACUUGCAUGAGAAUGGAUGAGGAUGGCUUAGUAAGGUCAGACACUGCAGUUGGAACACCAGAUUAUAUAUCUCCUGAAGUACUUCAAUCUCAGGGAGGUGAAGGUGUAUAUGGUCGAGAAUGUGAUUGGUGGUCCGUUGGUGUAUUUCUUUAUGAAAUGUUGGUUGGUGAUCCACCUUUUUACGCAGAUUCUCUCGUUGGAACAUAUUCAAAAAUAAUGGAUCAUCGCAAUUCACUUCACUUUCCCCAAGAGAUAGAUAUAUCUAAAUCAGCAAAGAGUAUUAUAUGUGGAUUUCUUACUGAUCGUACUAAUCGUUUAGGACGAAAUGGAGUAGAAGAAAUAAAAAGUCACCCAUUUUUCAAAAACGAUCAAUGGACAUUUGAAAAUUUACGAGAAUGUGUUCCUCCUGUUGUACCCGAGCUUUCAGGUGAUGAUGAUACAAGUAAUUUUGAAGAUGUUGACAAGGAAGAUACUCCUGAAGAAAGUUUUCCUGUACCAAAAGCUUUUUCCGGAAAUCAUUUACCAUUUAUAGGAUUCACUUACUCUGGUGAUUAUCAACUCCUUGUUUCACCAGGCAAAGAGUCUGUUGACGGUCUUGAAAAUCAUAUGAAUAAUGGUAUAACAGAUGAAAUAAAAAUAACACAAUUGGAAAAUUUAUUAGAAAGAGAAAAAAGACAAGUUGAAGUAAUGGAAGCACGUCAUUGCGCUCUUACUGCCCAAUUAGAAGCAAUAACACAAAGAGAAUCAGAAUUAAGAGAAGAAGCCGGUAGAGCUGAUAAGGAAUUAACUAUUCUUCGACAUAAUUAUAAAGAAGUACAACGUCGUAUCGAACAUGAAACUGAAGCACGAAGAAAAGCUGAAGGUAUGUUGGCGGAUUUAAAAAAAAAAUUUGAUGAAGAACAAAGCAAAAGAGCCCGAGAUGCAUCGACCUCUCAACAGACAUCUGAACGAGUUUUAACGCUAGAAAAACAAAUAAAAGAAAUGCAAAGUAAAUUAGAGAGAGAAACAGAAUCAGUAACAAGAAUGCGAAAACAAGCAACAGAAGUUACAGUAGCAAAACAAACUGCUAAACAAAUGGCUAAUGAAUUACAAGUAGCAAGAGCUCAAUUACAAGCACAAACAGAUUCUUUACAACAAGAAGUUGCGAGCUUGCAAGGUCAAUUGUCCAAAGAACGAAGUUCCCGAACUCAAGCAUCAACUUUAACUGCUGAACUUGAAACACGGCUAGCUUCUUUAUACGUUGAGUUGGAAAGAAGUCGAGACAAAGAAGAAAAAGCGAUGGCGGAUAAUAGACAACUUAAUGAAAGAGUUUCAGCAUUAGAGAAAGAAACAGCGAGCUUAACUCUAGAGCUUAAAGCUGCUCAGGCAAGGUACAAUCAAGAAGUUUUAGCUCAUCAAGAAACUGAGAGAUCGAGAAUGUUGUCAAAAGAAGAAGCUAACAUGGAAGUUGUUAAAGGACGUAUGAAUUGCGUAAUUAAAGUCAAGCUAAGUGAGGAAAAAAGUGGAAGACAACGAGCUGAAUUACUUGCUCAAGAAAAAGAACGUCAAACAUCGAUGUUGUCUGUGGACUAUCGACAAAUACAACAACGAUUACAAAAAUUAGAGGGUGAACACAGACAGGAAGUGGAAAAAGUUAAGGCACUUCAAGGGCAAGUUGAACAAGAACAACAAAAACGAAAUUUACUUCAAUCAGAUUUAGCUCAACAAUCUUCGGAUGCUGGAAGAUUACGUGCACGUGAACAACAGUUGGUACAUGAAGUAAGCCAGCUACGUGAAGCCAAACGACAAAUUGAUGAAGAACUAAAUAAUCUUAAAACUCAACGUAAUGUUGAUAUGUUACAAACAAAAGAACUUCAAGAACAAUUAGAAGCUGAAGCUUAUUUUUCUACAUUGUACAAAACGCAGACUCAAGAACUUCGAGAAGAAUUGGAUGAAAAAACUAGACUUCAACAAGAAUUGGAAGAAGAACGUAGUUCAUUGGUACAUCAAUUACAGUUGUCAUUAGCACGAGGUGAUAGUGAAGCUUUAGCAAGAUCAAUUGCUGAAGAAACUGUUGCCGAUUUAGAGAAAGAAAGAACAAUGAAAGAAUUAGAAUAUAAAGAUAGUUUAGUUAAACAUCAUCAUGAAAUUACUACAAAAGACCAAAUGAUGAAUCGUUUAAAGGAUAGCGAGGCUGAACUGAAAAAAACUAUUGAACAAUAUGCUAAAGAAAAAGAUGAUGCUGCAAAGCGAAUCAAAGAAAUACAAGAUCAACUUGUUAAAUCUCAAUCAAAUGCUGAAGAAAUUGACAGGCUUAGUAGUAAAUUAAAAACAGAAACAUUGUUGAAAGAACAAGCUAUCAAUAAAUUAGAGCAGAUUGUUGUUAGAAAAGAUUUUUCUGCUGGUGGAAAAACUAAAAAUAAACCAUCUUCAGCUGACCUUAGGAAAAAAGAAAAAGAUUGUAGACGAUUGCAACAAGAGCUUACGCAAGAACGAGAAAAGUAUGGACAGUUGGCAGCUAAAUGGCAAAAGGAUUUACAAGAUUUACAAGCACAACUUGUUGAAGAAAAUCAAGCAAAACUCCGACUGCAAAUGGAAUUGGAUUCAAAAGAUUCUGAAAUAGAAACACUACAAAUGAAAAUAUCUUCAAUGAAUUCGGAGACUGCAAGUGUAUCGUCAAUUGAAAAUGACGGUGAUGAUUCAGUUCUUCCAGAACAUGGUGCCAUGAGACUUGAAGGCUGGUUAAAUGUGCCGAACAAACAAAAUAUUAAAAGACAUGGGUGGAAAAAACAAUAUGUUGUUGUGUCAUCAAAAAAAAUUAUUUUUUACAAUAGUGAACAUGAAAAGAUUAAUGCUGAUCCAGUAUUGAUAUUGGAUUUAAGUAAAGUUUUUCAUGUAAGAUCUGUAACUCAGGGAGAUGUUAUUAGAGCAGACGCCAAAGAUAUUCCUAGGAUAUUUCAGUUACUUUAUGCGGGUGAAGGCGAAGCAAGACGUCCUGGUGACGAAGGUAAUGCACUGCCAGUUCCAGAACUAACUCAAUUAGUUGAUAAACCUGGUAUGCAACCAGUUAUUAAGGGCCACGAAUUUAUUUCAAUUUCUUAUCAUAUGCCUACAACUUGCGAAGUAUGUUCGAAACAACUAUGGCACAUGUUUAGACCACCACCUGCGUUAGAAUGUCGAAGAUGUCAUAUUAAAGUACAUAAAGAACACUUGGAUAAAAAAGAAGACGCUAUAGCACCCUGUAAACUUCAUUAUGAUCCUACGAGUGCUCGAGAGUUACUUUUACUUGCUGGUAGCCCCGACGACCAAAAGUAUUGGGUAACACGUUUGUCAAGACGCAUACAAAAAUGUGGAUAUAAGGCCAAUUCCCAUAUCGAUGGCACUGGACAACGUGUAUCUCCAAGGUAGCGUAAUAGGAUAAACAACUACAGGGAAAUUUGGUAGCUCUUGUGUUGUGGCGUCGCAUGGUUGGGUAUAUGGAGAGAGUCUACAAGAUCUACCUUGAAGCCAUAUUUAUCUAUUCAACAGAGAUCAGCAACGCUACCAGCCAAUGCGAGUAUGGGCAAAUGAUCUUCAUAAUAUUUUUAUUAAUUAUUAUCGUCAUUUGUGAUCUCUGGCUAUUUUUAAUAGGACCAAUAAUCUAUGUUAAUCAUGCCUCAUUAUUAUUUUUCUGACUGAGCAAUCAGACAAUCUGACAUAAAUAACUUAACAAAAGUUAUAUUUGUAAAAACAUAAAAAAUUUAAGGCAGCCUUAUAAUAAUAUUUAUAUGUAUAAAUCGUUGAAUAUUUGCCAUUUAAAUAUUUAUAAGCCGGUAGAUCAAUUAAACUACGCUAAUAUCUAUUGACAUGCCCUUGCCAACGAUGUCAAUUUUAUUAAUUCAAUUUAUCAACGACUUUGUCAUGAAUAAAAUUUUGCUACUUUAAUUUUUUAUUUUUGAUUCAAUGUAAAUAUCAGGAAUAAUGAUUAAUAUUCAUAGUCGUUAUUAUACUACUAAGUAACAAUAAAUGGAUCGUAUAGUAUUAUUA